GCAGACACAUUCCAGCCAAUCAGCAGCAGACCCUCCCUCCCAGACCCUCCCACCUCCUAGACAGCUCACUAAGAAUGCAGCUUCACAAUGAAUGUAAAAUGGAUGCUGUCCAGGAGGUGGGAGGGUCUGGGAGGGAGGGUCUUCUGCUGAUUGGCUGGAAUGUGUCUG
rnacentral:miRNA from 1 species